ACGGGAGGCAGCAGUGGGGGAUAUUGCACAAUGGGCGAAAGCCUGAUGCAGCGACGCCGCGUGAGGGAAGACGGUUUUCGGAUUGUAAACCUCUGUCUUCGGGGACGAACAAGGACGGUACCCGAGGAGGAAGCCACGGCUAACUACGUGCCAGCAGCCGCGGUAAUACGUAGGUGGCAAGCGUUGUCCGGAAUUACUGGGUGUAAAGGGAGAGUAGGCGGGAUUGCAAGUCCGUUGUUAAAUCUAUCGGCUCAACUGAUAGCUGCGGCGGAAACUGUAGUUCUUGAGUGAAGUAGAGGCAGGCGGAAUUCCUAGUGUAGCGGUGAAAUGCGUAGAUAUUCGGAGGAACACCGGUGGCGAAGGCGGCCUACUGGGCUUUAACUGACGCUGAGGCUCGAAAGUGUGGGGAGCAAACAGGAUUAGAUACCCUGGUA
rnacentral:rRNA from 1 species